rnacentral:lncRNA from 1 species
GCCUUGAUCCAGCAAGGCAUGAUUACGAUAAAACAAGACUAUUACUCUCUUAUGUGCCAAAAAGUCCAUGUUCUUGAUUUACCUGCUUAUGAUUUUAUCAGUAUCACUAAUAGAUCCAACUGGCUCUAUGACUGUCCCGACCCGAAAGAGGGGGACGAAGAUUUGUUUGACUCUUUGCCUGCAGAUGAACCGAUGGAAGGUGCACCGAGCAUCGAAGAGCCUUUUUACCAACAACCGCCAGAACCAACUCAAGC